rnacentral:rRNA from 1 species
ACACUCCUACGGGAGGCAGCAGUGGGGAAUUUUGGACAAUGGGCGCAAGCCUGAUCCAGCCAUGCCGCGUGCGGGAAGAAGGCCUUCGGGUUGUAAACCGCUUUUGUCAGGGAAGAAAAGGUUCUGGCUAAUACCUGGGACUCAUGACGGUACCUGAAGAAUAAGCACCGGCUAACUACGUGCCAGCAGCCGCGGUAAUACGUAGGGUGCAAGCGUUAAUCGGAAUUACUGGGCGUAAAGCGUGCGCAGGCGGUUAUGCAAGACAGAGGUGAAAUCCCCGGGCUCAACCUGGGAACUGCCUUUGUGACUGCAUGGCUAGAGUACGGUAGAGGGGGAUGGAAUUCCGCGUGUAGCAGUGAAAUGCGUAGAUAUGCGGAGGAACACCGAUGGCGAAGGCAAUCCCCUGGACCUGUACUGACGCUCAUGCACGAAAGCGUGGGGAGCAAACAGGAUUAGAAACCCGGGUAGUCCCAUGA